UACGGAGGGUGCGAGCGUUGUCCGGAAUUACUGGGCGUAAAGCGCGCGCAGGCGGCCAUUCAAGUCAGGGGUGAAAGCCCAGAGCUCAACUCUGGAACUGCCCUUGAAACUGUAUGGCUUGAGUAUGAGAGAGGUGAGUGGAAUUCCCAGUGUAGAGGUGAAAUUCGUAGAUAUUGGGAAGAACACCGGUGGCGAAGGCGGCUCACUGGCUCAUUACUGACGCUCAGGCGCGACAGCGUGGGGAUCAAACAGG
rnacentral:rRNA from 1 species